CCCCAGCCCACUGCAAAACACCAUCAGUCAAUGAGACACCGUCAUAAAGCUGUGCUUAUCUAGCUGUGUUUAGAGGUAAUACUACUCUGCACUUACUCGUGCUCGGCAGUUCAAGCGAUUAUAAA